UUAUGCAAUCUAAGAAAGUCCUGUGUGCCACUACGUGGGCAGGCACCUGAAGUUGAAUCCGAAGCCGAGUAUGAGCAGAACUUGAACCACGACGCAUCACCGUAGA